AGCGAACGCUGGCGGCAGGCUUAACACAUGCAAGUCGAACGCCCCGCAAGGGGAGUGGCAGACGGGUGAGUAACACGUGGGAACGUACCCUUUGGUUCGGAAUAACUUGGGGAACCUCAAGCUAAUACCGGAUAAGCCCUUAUGGGGAAAGGUUUACUGCCGAAGGAUCGGCCCGCGUCUGAUUAGCUAGUUGGUGAGGUACUGGCUCACCAAGGCGACGAUCAGUAGCUGGUCUGAGAGGAUGAUCAGCCACACUGGGACUGAGACACGGCCCAGACUCUUACGGGAGGAAGCAGUGGGGAAUAUUGGACAAUGGGGGCAACCCUUAUCCAGCCAGGCCGCGUGAGUGAUGAAGGCCUUAGGGUUGUAAAGCUCUUUUACCCGGGACGAUAAUGACUGUCCCGGGAGAAUAAGCCCCGGCUAACUUCGUGCCAGCCGCCGCAGUAA
rnacentral:rRNA from 1 species